rnacentral:rRNA from 1 species
GACGAACGCUGGCGGCGUGCUUAACACAUGCAAGUCGAACGGAAAGGCCCUGCUUUUGUGGGGUGCUCGAGUGGCGAACAGGUGAGUAACACGUGAGUAACCUGCCCUUGACUUUGGGAUAACUUCAGGAAACUGGGGCUAAUACCGGAUAGGAGCUCCUGCUCCAUGGUGGGGGUUGGAAAGUUUCGGCGGUUGGGGAUGGACUCGCGGCUUAUCAGCUUGUUGGUGGGGUAGUGGCUUACCAAGGCUUUGACGGGUAGCCGGCCUGAGAGGGUGACCGGCCACAAUGGGACUAAGGUACGGCCCAGACUGGUACGGGAGGCAGCAGGGGGGAGUAUUGCACAGUGGGCGGAAGCCUGAUGCGACAACGCCGCGUGCGGGAUGACGGCCUUCGGGUUGUAAACCGAUUUCGCCUGUGACGAAGCGUGAGUGACGGUAAUGGGUAAAGAAGCACCGGCUAACUACGUG